GCGGGAACAGCGGGGGCGCGCACCGCCUGGGCGGGGAUAACCGGGAGGACCCGAAAGGCCCCGGAAAGGGGCUCGCGGGGAGAAACGCGUCCGGCGCUCGCGAGACCUCCUGCCGUUAGAGCAUUUUCGCAAGGAGCCGGAGCGAAAGGGAUCAAACUUCGGUCAGCAGUUCACCUUCACGUUGUAUUCUCAAGAUUUGUAUACAGUAGGCACUUGGUAAAUGCUAAAUGAAUAUUGUAAUAGCGUUCGUUAGCGAUGCUGUUGUGUAUGGUAAAAGCCUGCAGCUGUACAAAGUUUUCCUUUGCCAGGCACUGAUCCCAGCAUUUUACAUCUGGUAACUAAAUCGAUCCUCUCAAUAACCUGUGAGGCAGAUAUGGGGCAUUAUAGAGGCAUAGCAACAAGGAAUACUGUCUCCAGGAGAAUGGAAAAUUACCAUGGGCUCCAGUCUGAGGCUUCUUCCUGAUCCACCAAGUUCCUGAGAAAAUAAGAUGGGAAGAAGGAGACAGCGCUCCCUGCUGUGGGUUCCCAGCUUGCUCUCAUCUCCAACUCACUAUGAAAUGCAAACUUACUUUCUGCUUCAAGGAACCGUAAGUUCCUUCUGAAAUGACCGUGGGCACAGAAGAAUAAAAUGCAACACAAUGUCUGGACUAUCAA